rnacentral:tRNA from 1 species
GCCCUAGUAGCUUAACGCACAAAGCACCGGUUUUGUAAUCCGAAGACUGAAGAUUCAAAUUCUUCCUAGCGCU